rnacentral:rRNA from 1 species
UACGUAGGGGGCAAGCGUUGUCCGGAAUCAUUGGGCGUAAAGAGCGUGUAGGCGGCCCGAUAAGUCCGCUGUGAAAGUCCAGGGCUCAACCCUGGAAUGCCGGUGGAUACUGUCGGGCUCGAGUCCGGAAGAGGUGAGUGGAAUUCCUGGUGUAGCGGUGAAAUGCGCAGAUAUCAGGAGGAACACCAAUUGCGAAGGCAGCUCGCUGGGACGUUACUGACGCUGAGACGCGAAAGCGUGGGGAGCAAACAGG